rnacentral:rRNA from 1 species
UACGGGGGGGGCAAGCGUUGUUCGGAAUUACUGGGCGUAAAGGGCGCGUAGGCGGUCAGACUAAGUCAGAUGUGAAAUUUAUGGGCUUAACCCAUAACGGUCAUUUGAUACUGGUCGACUAGAGUGUAGAAGGGGUUACUGGAAUUCCUGGUGUAGCGGUGCAAUGCGUAGCUAUCCGGAGGAACCCCGGAGGCGAAGGCGGGUUACUGGGCUACCACUGCCGCUGAGGCGCGAAAGCUAGGGGAGCAAACAGG